rnacentral:rRNA from 1 species
CCCUUAGAUGUUCUGGGCCGCACGCGCGCUACACUGAUUCAUGCAACAAGUUUUGUCCUUGGCUGAUAGGCCUGGGUAAUCUUUGAACGUGAAUCGUGAUGGGGAUAGAUGAUUGCAAUUAUUCAUCUUCAACGAGGAAUUCCUAGUAAACGCAAGUCAUCAGCUUGCAUUGAUUACGUCCCUGCCCUUUGUACACACCGCCCGUCGCACCUACCGAUUGAAUGGUCCGGUGAAAUCUUCGGAUCUGAGAGAUGUCUGAUUAAUUUCGGACGCCUCUUGGAAAAGUUGCUUAAACCUUACCAUUUAGAGGAAGGUGAAGUCGUAACA